GUCUUUAAAACAAAACCAAAACACCUCUUGUGGUAUAUGUGUCUUUUAUAAAACCACUUUUAAAAAUAUAUUUUUAAGGUGGGAAAUACAAUGUAUUUUCCCUCUUGGGAAAGUUUCCCUUGAUUUUAUCCAAACUCCUGGGGACUGGUGCUGCAGCCCACUGCUCACAUUCUUGGCUAUCUCGAAUGUGUUUUCUAUUUCAUGUCUCCUCAGGUGUCUCCUACAGCUACUUGUGUGGUGUUUGAAUAUUGGCCUUCCAGCAUUUCUUGUUGAAUUAUUUCAGGCUCACCUUGGUCAUAAUGAGUGGACCUGGCUUUACCCAGGGCUUCAGCCUUUGGCAUUUCACAUGAGGAAUACCCACUGAGCUGGAGGUCAAGAGGCCUGACUUUUAAUCUUGGCUCUGCCCCAGACAAGUGUGAACUUGGGAAAGAACACUGAGGGCCAGGAAAUGUUGAGUGACCUGUCCAUACUCACACAGCAUGGAAGAAUCAGAGCCCAUGGGGUCAGGACCUAUGGGCUUAGGAUAUACCGGAAGAGGCCUGAUUUCCAGUUAAGCAUUUGCCAAAAAUCAGCAGUGUGAUUUGGGCAAGUCAUUUUCCCUACUGAUUAAAGUGAAUUAACAGAAGGCAAUGCAAAAUUUUCUAGGUUCCUUAUCUAUUUUGUGGAUUGAAAAUAGGGUCUAGGUAGAUUGACAGACAUAGAACUUCCUGGUGAAAUAAAUGGGACUGAGCUGGACACAAAAAUCAAGAUAUGAUUUUACUCAUUUGCCAUUUUCAUCAUUUUCUGAAGGAUAUUUACAGCUUAAUGUGUCUUCACGUUAGCAAUGUUUGAUGCUCUUGGCAAUUAUUUUCCUCUUAGCAAGAUUUUGCAGAAGAAUACAUUACCCUUUACUAAGUGCUGUUGUUGAACAGAAAUGAAGCCAAGGAAACCUGCAUGAUCUCUAAGGACCUCAGCACUCACUAGUAGGUCUAAAAACUUAAUGAGCAUUAAUGGGCAUUAAAUGCAAUGCUUAUUCUUUU